AGGGUCUGCGGCGUGGUGUCUACCGGGCGAGCGCGGCGCAGUAGACGAUACAACUUAUCCGCGGAGGCAUGACAGAAUUUAGAGUGCAGAAGUCGAAGUUCGGCAGAUAUAAAGAACACAGGGGGAAUGUUGCGCUCGGCGUAAACGUGUCCAUGCCGGCAUGUUAGGGGCAUAAACCAGAUGCGGAACGUCACGAUGGAGUCAUCAAAGCGCGCAACGAACUGUUUUCACAAGCGAUUCGUCGUGGUAUCGAAGACAAGGAAGUGGAGAUCGAGGACGUCCAGGUCCAUAAGGGCGGGCACAAGUACGGCCGCAAGGCUAAAACUCAAAGGAAUUGGCGGGGACCCGCACAAGCAGCGGAGCGUGUGGUUUAAUUCGAGGCAACGCGAAGAACCUUACCGGGCCUUGACAUAUACGUGGUACUGAUCAGAAAUGUGAUGGACUCUUCGGAGAGCGUAUACAGGUGCUGCAUGGCUGUCGUCAGCUCGUGCCGUGAGGUGUUCGGUUAAGUCCGAUAACGAGCGCAACCCACGUCGUCAGUUACAAGUGUCUGGCGAGACUGCCGGUGAUAAGCCGGAGGAAGGUGUGGAUGACGUCAAGUCAGCAUGGCCUUUAUGGUCCGGGCUACACACACGCUACAAUGGCCGAUACAAUGGGUAGCGAAGCCGCGAGGUGAAGCCAAUCUUGCAAAGUCGGUCUCAGUUCGGAUUGCAGGCUGCAACUCGCCUGCAUGAAGUCGGAGUUGCUAGUAACCGCACGUCAGCACAGUGCGGUGAAUACGUUCCCGGGUCUUGCACACACCGCCCGUCACGUCAUGGAAGUUGGCAACGCCUGAAGUCGGUGGGUUAACCCUCACGGGAGACAGCCGCCAUCAUACGUUGGCCCUCGCAUCGAUCCUGGUAUUGCGUUUGGCA
rnacentral:rRNA from 1 species